rnacentral:rRNA from 1 species
CCUACGGGAGGCAGCAGUGAGGAAUAUUGGACAAUGGGCGCAAGCCUGAUCCAGCCAUGCCGCGUGCAGGAAGAAGCAUCUAUGGUGUGUAAACUGCUUUUGUACAGGAAGAAACACUCCCUCGUGAGGGAGCUUGACGGUACUGUAAGAAUAAGGACCGGCUAACUCCGUGCCAGCAGCCGCGGUAAUACGGAGGGUCCGAGCGUUAUCCGGAAUCAUUGGGUUUAAAGGGUCCGUAGGCGGUUUAAUAAGUCAGUGGUGAAAUCUGGUCGCUCAACGAUCAAACGGCCAUUGAUACUGUUAGACUUGAAUUAUAAGGAAGUAACUAGAAUAUGUAGUGUAGCGGUGAAAUGCUUAGAUAUUACAUGGAAUACCAAUUGCGAAGGCAGGUUACUACUUAUGGAUUGACGCUGAUGGACGAAAGCGUGGGGAGCGAACAGGAUUAGAUACCCUGGUAGUCCACGCCGUAAACGAUGGAUACUAGCUGUUCGGUAGCAUCUGUAGUGGUCGUAGACGAAGUAGAGUAAGUACGUACCGACCGUACGGGUAGGUAACGGUUACGUCGAAGAAGUAGUUAACGUUAACGAAGGAAGUUAGACGGCGUUGAGACGNGCCGACGGACGACGACGAGGGAGGAGG